CCUACGGGGGGCAGCAGUGAGGAAUAUUGGUCAAUGGACGAGAGUCUGAACCAGCCAAGUAGCGUGAAGGAUGACUGCCCUAUGGGUUGUAAACUUCUUUUAUAUGGGAAUAAAAUGUUCCACGUGUGGGAUUUUGUAUGUACCAUAUGAAUAAGGAUCGGCUAACUCCGUGCCAGCAGCCGCGGUAAUACGGAGGAUCCGAGCGUUAUCCGGAUUUAUUGGGUUUAAUGGGAGCGUAGGUGGAUUGUUAAGUCAGUUGUGAAAGUUUGCGGCUCAACCGUAAAAUUGCAGUUGAAACUGGCAGUCUUGAGUACAGUAGAGGUGGGCGGAAUUCGGGGUGUAGCGGUGAAAUGCUUAGAUAUCACGAAGAACUCCGAUUGCGAAGGCAGUUCACUGGACUGCAACUGACACUGAGGCUCGAAAGUGUGGGUAUCAAACAGGAUUAGAUACCCUGGUAGUC
rnacentral:rRNA from 1 species